ACGAACGCUGGCGGCAUGCCUAACACCUGCAAGUCGCACGAGACCUUCGGGUCUAGUGGCGCACGGGUGCGUAACGCGUGGGAACCUGCCCUUAGGUUCGGAAUAACUCUCCGAAAGGGGUGCUAAUACCGGAUAAUGUCUUCGGACCAAAGAUUUAUCGCCUUUGGAUGGGCCCGCGUUGGAUUAGCUAGUUGGUAGGGUAAAAGCCUACCAAGGCGACGAUCCAUAGCUGGUCUGAGAGGAUGAUCAGCCACACUGGGACUGAGACACGGCCCAGACUCCUACGGGAGGCAGCAGUGGGGAAUAUUGGACAAUGGGCGAAAGCCUGAUCCAGCAAUGCCGCGUGAGUGAUGAAGGCCUUAGGGUUGUAAAGCUCUUUUACCCGGGAUGAUAAUGACAGUACCGGGAGAAUAAGCUCCGGCUAACUCCGUG
rnacentral:rRNA from 1 species